rnacentral:lncRNA from 1 species
AGACUUCCAAUGCUAAAUGGGCUUUCUAAUCUCCAGGUUCUUGAUCUUUCUGGUGCUAUCAGUUUAAAGGAAACCUACGAUGACAUUUUUGAAACUGCACAUAGCCUUAAAGUUCUUGAUUUAUCUGAAACUGGCUUGCAUGCCCUACCUUCCAUCACUUGCAAUCUUUUCUCAUAUUUUGCUAAGAAAUUGUACAGCACUGACGAAGCUGCCAAGUACAAAAGCUUGUAGAGAUCUUGAAUUACUUGAUCUCUCUGGUUCCUCUAAUGUAGUUGAAAUUGAAGAUCAAUCCUUUCAACAUUUGUGGUGUCUUCGUUGCCUAAACCUCUCAAGUACCAAAGUCCAGUCUCUACCAUCACUCUCCCACCUUCUUAACCUUCGCUUUGUCAUUUUAAGGGAUUGUGAAUUCUUACAGCAUCUUCAAGAAAUGGAAGGACUUGCAAGACUCGAGGUACUUGACCUCACUAAUGCACGUUCUCUAACAGGUUUUGAUUGCAAUGAGUUCCAAAAUAUGAGCAAGCUUAUCCUAUGUGGUUGUUCCUCACUUAAUGAGUUGCCACAUUUCCCUAAAAAUCUUGAAAUGAUUGAUCUUUCUGGUUGCACUAAUUUGUUAUUAAUUGGUCUUUCCAAUAGACUCUGGGGUCUGUCUGAACUUCGGAUACUCAGGCUUUCUGAAAUUCGGGAUGUUUACCUUCCCACCAUAAAGUCUCUAUCAAAUCUUGUUGAGCUUAAUAUUUCUAAUCUAGGAGUUACUCCUAGAGAACACUCCCUGAGUAAUUUAUUUCAUAAUAGGAGGAACCUUUUCAACGUGACUUAUACUCCCCUCUACCCAGAUGUUUUCUCCCCAAGUAACUUAACCCAGUUGUCACUGAGAGGGUGGUCAGACAUGGAAGAUGUGUCAGCCUUAAAAACGCUUACGAGCCUUAAAGUUCUUGAUCUUUCCAAAACAGCAGUCAAACGCCUUCCUUCCCUGAAGUUCUUAUGCAACCUCUGCCAGCUCUUGCUAAGAGAUUGUUGGGGCCUGGAGAAGCUGCAGCAUUUGGAAUCUCUUAGUCACUUGGAGGUUCUUGAUCUUUGGGGUACUGGGAUAAAAGAAUUUCUCUAUGAGAUCUCAGAGCUGCCUCGCCUUAACAGCCUUCAUCUCCCCCUCCUGAAGGAAUCUAAAGAACUUGAUUGGAGGAGGAUAAAGCGCAUUCCUGAGGAACUAAAUUGGGUUGAUUGUGACGUCUUUCGGGCGACAAAAAUAUUUCCAUUGAGUGUAAAUAAUCCCCACGUAAUGGUUCGUGGCAGCAAGUUUUUUGAAUUUUUGGACGAAAAUCCCACGUUAUGGGCUGCAUACUUCAAGCAAUUUGAGUUCUCCGUUUUACCUCCAAUAAAGCAAGGUGAAGGUGGAGAUUUCUUUAGCCACAGAGAUGAAGUCAAAUUUAGAGAUAUCUACACAAGAAUCAGAUGUUUUCCUAGGUACUUGGAAAUCCACAGGCAGUCUCUGGAAAUUCGGUCUUGCAGUCCCUUCCUCGGUCUGCAGGGUGUUCUCAAGCGUGCUCGAUAUAUAUGUAUACGAGAUAAUGCAAAUAUCAGUUGCUUAUAUGAAUUGGGUGCAAACAAUAUCAGCGCAAUGAGUGGCUGUUGCAUAGAGAGAUGCACUAACAUGGAGAGCGUUUUCGGUAGAGAAGAGGAAGCUAUUGGAGCAUCAAACAAACUUGAGAUUCUGCAGAUUCUUAACCUCCCUAAUCAGAAGAGCAUACGCAACAAGAAUUUCCAAGUUGAGAGAUUCAGUAAUCUUAAGCACCUGUAUCUAGAAUGUUGUCCACUGCUUGAAACUGUUUUCUCCUUGUCCUGGCAACCAAUGAACCUUCAGACUCUUCAGAUUAGGUUCUGUGAUAAUCUCAAACGUGUGUUUGAGUUUGAUGGAACAACGGUGUGUUCAAUGAAACAUCUAAAGAUUCUGCAUUUGUUUGAACUGCCAGAGUUGAAAAGCAUUGGAGCUGCCUUGCCUUCUCUUGAAAGAUUUACAGGGGGAGAAUGCCCAGAACUUGAUGACUUUUUCACAUGCUUCUUUCUUUUUGUUCGGGCAAUACAAAACUGGACUAUGACCAUAAGUUCUGAUGACAGUCAGGCCUGUCUUGGGUCGCUGAAGUUGCCUCCCCGAAUAAAGCACAUGGCCUCUCAGAAAAAUAAUGAAAUUUCACAUGAAUGAACACUUGGAGAACUUUGAAAACUAACUCCAGGUUUGUUAUGAUUGCAGUUUUAUGUCAUUGUAUNNNNNNNNNNNNNNNNNNNNNNNNNNNNNNNNNNNNNNNNNNNNNNNNNNNNNNNNNNNNNNNNNNNNNNNNNNNNNNNNNNNNNNNNNNNNNNNNNNNNNNNNNNNNNNNNNNNNNNNNNNNNNNNNNNNNNNNNNNNNNNNNNNNNNNNNNNNNNNNNNNNNNNNNNNNNNNNNNNNNNUGUGGUUUUUUUUAACCGUAUAAUUAAAAAUGAUAGUCUUCUGAAAACCCUGACCACAGGAGUGUUUUUGUUCCUUUAUCUUUUUUUCUGAAAAGAAAAUGAGUUUUUUCCUUCCUUUAUUUUAGCUUUUACAUCAUCUGUAUAACUUUAUAGUAAAUUUCAGCAUUCAAAAAGCAAUCCUUUAACAGGGUAAAUUUCAGCAUUACUACAAUAGCUGCAAGUUUUCAGGCCUCUGCUCAUGGUGAUCUAAAAUAGUUUUUUCAUUUAACAUUUAAAUUUAAAUGCUCAAAUUACUUUGGUGGUUUCACGACAUGUAUGGUUUGGCAGGUUCUAUGUUUUAACCUAGUUAACUUGUAUUGUUCUGCAGGUACUAUGAUGCUUCUGUGUAUUUCUUUUUCUUAAUGGUGAGAAGCGGACUAAUGGUUUCUACUGCUUUGGAGCUGUCUAUUUUCUUGUUUCUGGUGUUGGUUUCGUUACGAUGUUGCUACUUUGUGAAGAAUAUGCUCUAGUUUGCUGGAAUGUGAACGUCAUUUUCAUGAGGAGUUGAGUGGUUAUCCUGCAGUUUAAAGUUUAGAAGAAUUCGGCUAGCUAGCUAACAGGUGUUUCUGUGAUUAUGUGUUGAGGACUCAUGUAUGUUUUACCCAGAAGCUUUAACUUUGAAGCUUGUCUGGGAUAUGAGAAAGGUUGUGAACUUUUGUUGGUAAUUCAGCGUAUAGAAAAAAUCCUCGGAGAAUGAAGUAGCAGAUCUUGCUGUUGAAACGUAACUUCAUCAUUGGUUUUCUCUCUUGCUGCUAUGUGAGAGUUUGCGUUCCUGGCUGUUGCGAUUUUUUUUUUAUGAUCUUCACUUGGAUGUAAGAUUGAAUCACAUGUUCAUAAGAUUUCAAGUGAAAAUUGUUUUGUUUGAUUCUCAAGCUUCUUUACAUAAAGAUGAGAUGAUUAUAGCCUGGUACAAAAGCUGCUAUAUGCGGAGUGGAGGAGACAUCUGCCGCUAUUGCAUGCGAUUUUUGGUCAAAGUUUGUCGCUAAUAAGUGCAAUUGCGGGUUAUAUAGGUUAUAUUUAAUCUUCAAUUUUCACUUUUGUCAUGUUUUGUUUUUUGCAGAUUGUAAUUAUAACAUGGAGUAGACUUUUACCAAUAUAUAUUAAGUGAAAUACCUGAGUACUUAUUAGUAUAAUUUUAUUGAAUAAAUUAUCGGAAUUUUUACAGUAUCAUAUAAAUAUUCAUGAUUAAUCUAGUAAUAUUGAGUUUAACAAUAGACAAUAAAAAAGAAAAAAAAGUCUUUUCAUGAUAAUCUGUUAAGGAAAAUUCUUCUCAAAAUCAUAAAUUCUAAAUGAUCAAAAGAACAUUACUUGAUCCCAUCAUUUCCUCACAACAAAUUUUAUUCUGGCAACAUUAGCAUCUUGAAACUGCGUUCCUAAACCCAAAUGAUUCAUCAAUAACCAAACCAAAGUGAGAAGCUCUCCACCCCUGCUCGGCUGCUGAGCAUGUAUAUUAGGCCUACAGUUGAUAGCAGCAUAUGACAGCAAUUCUACCCAGACUUGGCUCAUCAGCUUCCAUGGAUUUGUGUUUGAUUUUACCAGUUGUUGUGCAAGUAUACAAGCAUCAACCAAUACCGAUUUGCUCAAACCCCCUUUGACAGCACUGGGAUUGAUAUCUGCUUCGACGCGAAACAGUUGNNNNNNNNNNNNNNNNNNNNNNNNNNNNNNNACAUGUAAUGUGAAGCAAGUUGCAUAAGUCUCUAUUCUCAUCUUCAGAACUAUCAUAUUGUUGUGGCAUAUAUCUGUAGCUAUGUGCCACAGAAGAAGGCUUUCUACAUAUCGAUAUCUGACACACUCCAUUUAAGGUGUCUAUUCGGAGUAUCACUUAGAAAUCCCAUCACCUCUUUGCAGACAUAUCUUCUUCCCCAGUUCUACAGUCUUUGCAGUCAGAGCUUUAUGUUUGAGCUCUUUGAAAAUGAGAUGCCAUGCGUUGGGGUCUAAUUCUUUGCCAGAUGAGUACAGUGCGAUUUUUAUGGUGUCCAACAUUCCCUUAACACCCAAAACUUCAAUCAAUUUGCUGAAAGAUUCUGGAUAAUCAUGAAUGCACCAACUCAUAAAAUUGUACUGGCCAACUAAAUUAGACCAUCGGCGUCUCUCAAUAACCAUGGAUUCAAUAUAUGGGACUAUCCCAUUGCUGUGAGCAAUGAUAGUCCAAUCUGAGAAAAUGAGCAUUACGAAAGAUAUGAUGUCCAAAGCAAUUGCUCCCGCAAGCAAAGCUACUGUAAUUAUAAUGUCUAUCUUUCUAUACCCAUCUUUACUGAUGAAGGCAAAUGAGAUAGAAGCUGCCAAAAUACAGAUGAAAUUAACAAUGCGGAAGAAGUAGCCUUUCUUGCAACGCACCACCACAAUCUUAGUAUGAAGAACCUCAUAGAGGAGACUAAGCUCCACAACCAGUAUCCGAAAAACAUCAAAAGAGUUUCUAUUGAGAAAGAAUUCUCGACUGGCAAGGCGUUCUUGUGAGCCCAGAAGAAGACCUACAAUUAGCCCCUUGAAACUGUUAAAAAAUGUGAACGCAUACUGCAAUACUGCUCUGGAACUCAUUUGAUCACUUGAUCCUACUUCUUCUGGGUAGUUUUGAUAUUCUUCAUCCGGGCCUUUUAUCAUCUUUGUUCUUGCCGGAAGAUUUGCUUUGGUAAUUGAUGAAUACAUCUGAACCACUCUUUCAUAUUCAGGACCAGGAUUUGGUUUCCUACAAACCGAUUCCCCAAAAUGAUCAAGACAAGCAAGAUAUAAAGCACGAGUCCUCUCUGCAAAUCUAAUAGUUCCUGCAAUUAGCACCAGAAUGGUAGGCACCAAAAGUCUGUUUCCUGGAAUUGUUUGGAGUAAGACAUAAAUAGCAGCCAGAACCUGUAAAAUGAGACUCAGCAAGUGCCUGAUCCACAGCUCAUUAUCCUCCAGAGAAAAAGCAGUAAUGGUAUCAGGACCACCCAGAUGCAGCAAAAGAAAGGGUGCCCAAAAAGCUAAGAGCUCAGCAUUGUCAUGAGGUCCGCAAUCUUUACCCUGUUUGCUAGAGAUUAACCCAACUGCAACGGCAGCAACCCAGUCUGCAAGCAAGUAAGCUGACCAGAUUCCAAUAAUUAUCCAUGUCUUUCCUCUUCGUUUCCUUGAAGAUGAGAAAAAGAUCAAGACAAUCUGCAGUGCCAGACUCACAGCAAUGGCGACCCGGAGAUUCCAUCUAUCCCACCGCUCCUUUACCUUGUCUGGAACCGCGAGCACGGCCAUGAUUCGUUAUUCACCUAGUUCAACGGGUUAUCUGUGUAAUCCCCAACUCUGUUUGAUGCUUGGGAAAUUUACUUGUUACUGAGAAUUUCUCCAGUGACAAAGGAAGAAGAAGCUAAUGGGUGUUGAGAGGAACCAGUCUGGAAUAAAUGAAGUCAUCACAAAUUAAUUUAAUCAAAAAUUUGUAGAGCCGACGAAAAUUAAUUAGCCGAAUUUAUUGACCGGUCAAAACGAUCCAGCUGAAGGAGAGAGAAACAAAAGAAAAAAAAAAAAAACAAUCUAAACCUGUAAUUGGCUCUUGCAUAAAGUAAAAAAAGUACCCCUCAAUUUAAUUAUAAUUACGAUAAUAAUUAAAAAUUUGCAAGAGAAAACAAGAAAGAGGAAAGAAAAGAAGAAGACUGCUGGAGACACUAACCUCCCAUCCGUAAUCAGCGAUCAGACAUCCUCCGUCUCUAACCAAAAAUGAAAGAUGAUAAUGGAAUUACAGAAGGAAGCAGAAACGAAAUAAGUGAUAACUCGAAUCAGAAUGGCGGAAGAAAUCAAAGCUUCCAAGAUCUCUGUCUUCGAAUCUCCUUUCUCCAGGAAUCGUGCACUCCAAGAUCUCUGUUGAAAUCUCCGAGUAUGGAAGUACGCGGCGGAGGAGUAGUCGUGGGGAGCAGGAGUGAGGAAAAUGAAUGGGAGAGAAUUUGCGGGAGCUUCAAGGAUUUAUUAAGUCAAAAAGUAAACGGCUGAAGUCUUUGAAUAUACUAUUUUAUAUUAAAUAUUAUUUAUUUUUAAAUAUUUAUUGAAAAUGAUGUUUAAAUAAAUGAUUAAAAAAGAGAAAAUAAAAGUUGACAGAUAUGAUUGUAAAUUAAAUUAUAAUUUAAUAUUAAAAAAAUACCACGUCUUUCUUAUUAUUAUUAUUUGGGUUUUUUUUUUAAUUAUAAUUAUAAUUAUUGGAUACAUUUUCAAACCCACCACAUGCCCUUCACGUUCUUAUUACAAAAUCCCAUAAAAAAGGGCAAGAGAGAUCGUGUUUGUUUCAAUAAUGUGUGUCUGUGUAUAUAUAUAUAUAUAUAUAUGCCGACUGAAAAUCCCUUCGGCCAAUAGAAAAUGGAAUCUCACAUGUACAUGUUCAUAUGACACUCCAUAUUACUCACCAAAAGACAUGUUUUUUGAGGAACACCUUCUCCGACCAGGCAUUACUGUUUAACUUCAACUCUUUACUAGUGCUUGAAUUUAAUAAAGUUUUUAAGUGUCAACAGAAGAAAUAGAGAGAGAGAAAGAGAGAGAGAGAGAGAGAAAUCAGAGUAGUGCAUCUUGAUAUUUUUAAAUUUAAGAACAUUAAAAAUAGUCUAGAGUUUAUAGACUGACAAUCCAUUUUCUUGGACAAAUAAAUUUCAAAGUUUACCUACCUAUGUAGUGCCUUUAUGAACAACCAAUGGCAUUGUCUAGUCUCGAUAGAACCUUAUGGGAAUUUCUUACUUUGUUAAUUUUAUAUAAAAAAUCACCAAAUGAACCAUGUUUAAUUCAUAAUCCAAUUUGUUUUGUCCAAGUAAAGUGAUGAUGUUAUUUAUAGUUUAUUCUGCAUCUUCUACAUCUUGUUGACUUGCAGGUUUUGGUAGAAAAUUUAGAAAAGUAAGAAUGUAGUUUACUCAUCUGGUUGUUGCGGAGGAGAGAGAACGACAUGAUCGAGAUCCAAAAGAAAUCAAGCAGAUGAUACAGAGCUUACAAUUUGUUAUUACAAUCUCGAAGUUUGUGAUUGAAUAUUUUAGUACACAGUGUCAUAACAGUUUUUUAAAAAUUAUAAUUAAUUCUGUGAGCUGUCCAUCAUCUACCUACCAGCAUCCUAUUCUGAUUUACAAUUUGCUAAUCACCUUCUGUUUCUUUUGUUCAUCCAGAAGAAGCUCCUGCCAACUGAUACUGUUUCCACUGGAGUAGGCGAUAGAAAUCUACAGGUUUUUUAAUAAGCUCUCUUCCUUUUUUUUUUUUUUUUUUUUUUUUUUCCUUUUCUUCACUCUCUCCCAUAAUCCUAACCUGUAACUUCUAUCAUGUUAUUUGUCGUAUGUCUCCAUUCUGUCAUUGCUUGUUUCUUAUUUACUUGUCCCUAACAGGAAGAUACUUCCUCGUACGAACAUUUUGUUGCAGGAUCUGCCAUGGCUAACGGGGACGCAUUGGGUGUGCGCCUACAAACCAUAUUGGACGCACUAUGCGCAGACCAUGUCAAAGUGGUGUGUCUAGUUGGGAAACCAGGAAUAGGGAAAACAUGGACGGCAAACAAGGUUAGUGAUAUUGUAAAGCAAAAAGGUCAGUUUGAUUUAUGUUUUUGGCUGUCUAUGAGCAGAAAACAUGACAAGGAAUCUCCACUUGAGAGGAUUGCUGCUCAUUUGCCUAUAUUUCUGCCAAAUGAGGAGUGGGAUGCGGAUGACGAUGGUGAUGAGGAUGAGGAGAUGCAGACAGAGGCUUAUCUGAAACAGAAAAUAUCAACGGUUAUUGGUAAGAAGAGGUGUCUCCUAAUCUUGGAUGGAGUUUCUAAGGGGAUGAAAGUAGAUGAAAUUGUAUCAGAAUUUGAAUUAUUGGUUCCUGAUUUUAAGCAGCCUUCAUUUAGAGCCUUAGUCACCACCAUAGAUUACUCUGGAAAUCCUAUUGGUCCUUACUUGAAGGUGUUGGAGAUGGAACCCUUGUCUGCAUCAGAGACCUUCACUCUUUUGCAAAAACAAGUCAGAGAUCCAAAUUUUGAACUACUAUUUGAAGGUAUAUAUAAGGAAAGCCAGGGUGCUCCUGCUAAAAUUGAGGCUAUGGCAGAAGCAUUAAACUACAUUACGGAAUAUAAAGAUCAGGAUUGGAUAAGAGAAUUUGGAGUAGACUCAACAGUUACUGAUGCUUCCAGCAUUAUGCUCUGUUUUCUCCAAAUUGCCCAUGCAAUUCUGCGAACCAAUGAUCUGAUUCUUUGUUUCUGGCACAGCUGGCAGUACAUUCACUUAAAUGGUCCUGUUCAUUUCAUUCAAUUGAUAGCCCAUUGGAUUGUGGAGGGUUGUCUGGGUCCUGUUGAUUGUAUUGAGGAUUCUUUUAAGAAGGGUUACUCUGUUUUCAUGGAGUUUAUAAGUCGAGGGUUUCUAAAACAUGUGGAGUCCAACUGUGUUGUAAUGGUAGGAUGUGCUAUGAAAGUGCCUUAUUGGUCGAUCAGAGAUGAAGAAGAUUAUGGGAUUUACCACAAGAACAAAGAUGGAGGGCAUUAUUCUGGUCGGGAUUCCCAAAGAUAUGUAGGUACACAGAGCUGUUUAAUGGUUCCUGCUUUGAUGAGCGACAUGUGGGAAGGAUGUGGGGACAUUGCACUGAUUGAUGACGUGAUAAGAACUGUUGGAUAUAGUAGCAAAUCAGAGAAAAUUUCAACAUUAUUACUUGAUGGUAAUUGUCUAGGCAAGGAAGUCCCUGAAGCAUUUUUCCAAAGCAUGAGUGGUCUCAAUGUUUUUGGCAUCUUCAACCCCAUAAUUAAAUCUCUACCAGCAUUUUUUUCGCUCAUGCAAGAGCUUACAGUGCUUGUCUUAAGGGGCUGUGAGUUUCUUGAGAAUAUUGAUCAGAUACAAUGGCUCAAAUCGUUAGUUAUUCUUGAGAUAUCUGGUGCUACAUCAUUGAUGACAAUUCCAGAUGAUUUAUUGCAGCAAUUGCUUCAUCUCCAAAGUCUCAACUUCUCUGAAGUACAGGUUGAAAUGUUGCCUAGUUCUAUUUCCAACUUAACUGAAUUACGCUGGCUUAUCUUGAGAGGGUGUCGCCACCUGAAAAUGCUUCCACGACUAAGUGCCUUGCAAAAGCUUGAGGUCAUUGAUCUUUUUGGUGCUUCAUGUUUUCAAAGAUUCUACGAAAGUUCCUUUUUGCAAUUUACAAAGCUCAGGAUCCUUGAUGUUUCCCACUCGCAGAUUGAUCGCCUACCACUUCUAUACGGUUGUGAAGAGCUAACACAGCUUGUAUUGAGAAAUUGUAGAUUCUUGACAAGACUUCCAAGGCUAAAAACGCUCUCUAAUCUCCAAGUUCUUGAUCUUUCUGGUGCUAUCUGUUUAAAGGAGAUCUAUGAUGACAUUUUCAAAACUGCACAAAACCUUAAAGUUCUUGAUUUCUCUGAAAUUGGCUUGCAUGCCUUACCUUCCAUCACUUGCAAUCUUUCUCAUAUUUUGCUAAGAAAUUGUACAGCACUGACGAAGCUGCCAAGUACAAAAACUUGUAAGGACCUUGAAUUACUUGAUCUCUCUGGUUCCUCUAAUCUAGUUAAAAUUGAAGACCAAUCCUUUAAACAUUUGUGGUGCCUUCGUUGCCUAAACCUCUCAAAUACCAAACUCCGGUCUUUACCAUCGCUAGCGCAUCUUCUUAACCUUCGUUUUGUCAUUUUAAGGGAUUGUGAAUUCUUAAAGCGUCUUCCAGAAAUGAAAGGACUUGCAGGGCUUGAGGUACUUGACCUCACUAAUGCACGUUCUCUGACAGGUUUUGAUUACAGCCAGUUCCCAAAUAUGCGCCAGCUUAUCCUAUGUGGUUGUUCCUCCCUUAGCCGGUUGCCAGCUGUCCCCAAAAAUCUUGAAGUGAUUGAUCUUUCAGGUUGCACUAAUUUGUCAUUAGAUAGUGAGGAUUCCCAUCCUCUGUUGGGUUUGUCUCGACUUCGGAUACUCAGACUUUCUGGAAUUUGGACUUUUUAUUUUCCCAUCUUGGAGUCUCUAUCAAAUCUUGAGGAGCUCAAUACUUCUAAUUUAAGAUAUCUACCUAGAAAUGAUUCUUUUCCGCGUCAUUUACUUAGUGCUAUGAGGAACCUUCGGAUUCUCAACCUGUCCAAAACUCCCAUUUACGUAGAUGUUUUCUUCCUAAGUAACUUAACCCAGUUGUCACUGAGAGGGUGGACAGGGAUGGAAGAUGCAUCAGGCUUGGAAAAGCUUACAAGGCUUGAAGUUCUUGAUCUUUCUGAAACAGCAGUCACAUGCCUUCCUUCCCUCAAGUUCUUAUGCAACCUCCGCCAGCUCUUGCUAAGAGAUUGUUGGGGCCUGAAGAAGCUGCAGCAUUUGGAAUCACUUAGCCACUUGGAGGUUCUUGAUCUUUGGGGUACUGGGAUAAAAGAAUUUCCCUAUGAGAUCUCAGAGUUGCCUCGCCUUAAAAACCUCCAUCUCCCCCUCCUGAAGGAUACUGAAGAACUUGAUUGGAGGCGGAUAAAGUGCCUUCCAGAGGAACUAAAUUGGGUUGAUUGUGGCAUCUUUGGGACAGGGAAAAGAUUUCCAUCGAGUGUAAAUAAUCUCCACAUAAUGGUCAGUGGCAGCAAGUUUUUCGAAUUUUUUGAUGAAAUGAAUCCUGUGUUAUGGGAUACAUACUUCAAGCAAUUUUAUUUUUCUGUUUUACCUCCGAGAAAGCAAGGUGACGAUGGAGAUUUCUUUAGCCACAGAGAUGAAGCCAAAUUUAGAGAUAUUUACUCAAGGACCAGAUGUUUUCCUAGGUACUUGGAAAUCCACAGGCAAUCUCUGGAAAUUCGGUCUUGCAGUCCCUUCCUUGGUCUGCAGGGUGUUCUCAAGCGUGCUCGAUAUAUAUGUUUACGAGAUAAUGCAAAUAUCAGUUGCUUAUAUGAAUUGGGUGCAAACAAUAUCAGGGCAAUGAGAGGCUGUUGGAUAGAGAGAUGCACUAACAUGGAGAGUGUUUUCAGUAGAGAAGAGGAAGCUGUUGGAGCAUCAGACAAACUUGAGACUCUGCAGAUUCUUAACCUCCCUAAUCUGAAGAGUAUAUGCGACAAGACUUUGCAAGUUGAGAGAUUCAGCAGUCUUAAGCAUCUGUAUCUAGACUGUUGUCCACUACUUGAAAUUGUUUUCUCCUCGUCCCAUCAACCAAUGAAUCUUGAGACUCUUCAGAUUAGGUUCUGUGAUAAUCUCAAAUGCGUAUUUGAGUCUGAUGGAACAACGGUGUGUUCGAUGAAACAUCUAAGGACUCUGCAUUUGUUUGAACUGCCAGAGUUGAAAAGCAUUGGAGCUGCCUUGCCUUCUCUUGAAAGAUUUACAGGGGGAGAAUGCCCAAAACUUGAUGAGUUUUUUACAUGCUUCUUUCUUUUUGUUGGGGCAAUACAAAACUGGACUAUGACCACGAGUUCUGGAGUUGAGGAACAAUGUGAUGACAGUAAUGCCUGUCUUGGGUUGCCGAAGUUUCCUCCCCGAAGAAAACACAUGGGCUCUCAGAAGUGAAGAAAUGAAAUUACACAUGAACGAAGACUUUCAGAACUUUUGACAAGUAACUCCAGGUUUGUUGUUAUUUGCAGUUUUAUGUUGUUUUAUCAAUUUAAUUGUUGCUCGGGGUUUGUUGUUACUUUCUAUUUUAUAUCAGAAACUACUUGCAC